AGAGUUUGAUCAUGGCUCAGAACGAACGCUGGCGGCAUGCCUAACACAUGCAAGUCGAACGUGAUCCAGACUUCGGUUUGGUGAAAGUGGCAAACGGGUGAGUAACGCGUGGGAACCUGCCCAGAGGUAGGGAAUAACUGCGGGAAACUGCGGCUAAUACCCUAUGUGUCCUGAGGGACAAAGAUUUAUCGCCUUUGGAGGGGCCCGCGUCGGAUUAGGUAGUUGGUGGGGUAACGGCCUACCAAGCCUUCGAUCCGUAGCUGGUCUGAGAGGAUGAUCAGCCACACUGGGACUGAGAUACGGCCCAGACUCCUACGGGAGGCAGCAGUGGGGAAUAUUGGACAAUGGGGGCAACCCUGAUCCAGCAAUGCCGCGUGAGUGAUGAAGGCCUUCGGGUUGUAAAGCUCUUUCGGCGGGGAAGAUGAUGACGGUACCCGCAGAAGAAGCCCCGGCUAACUUCGUGCCAGCAGCCGCGGUAAUACGAAGGGGGCUAGCGUUGUUCGGAAUUACUGGGCGUAAAGGGCGCGUAGGCUGUGCUGUAAGUCAGGCGUGAAAUCCCCGGGCUCAACCUGGGAAUUGCGUUUGAUACUGCGGCGCUGGAAUGCAGGAGAGGAUGGCGGAAUUCUCAGUGUAGAGGUGAAAUUCGUAGAUAUUGGGAAGAACACCGGUGGCGAAGGCGGCCAUCUGGCCUGUAAUUGACGCUGAGGCGCGAAAGCGUGGGGAGCAAACAGGAUUAGAUACCCUAGUAGUCC
rnacentral:rRNA from 1 species